rnacentral:rRNA from 1 species
UACGGGGGGGGCAAGCGUUGUUCGGAAUUACUGGGCGUAGAGGGCUCGUAGGUGGCCAACUAAGUCAUACGUGAAAUCCCUCGGCUUAACCGGGGAACUGCGUCUGAUACUGGAUGGCUUGAGGUUGGGAGAGGGAUGCGGAAUUCCAGGUGUAGCGGUGAAAUGCGUAGAUAUCUGGAGGAACACCGGUGGCGAAGGCGGCAUCCUGGACCAAUUCUGACACUGAGGAGCGAAAGCCAGGGGAGCAAACGGG